UGCCAGGAGAAAGAGGAGUGACUAUGAAGUCUCUGAGAGAGAAACCUGCUGUGGAAAACCAUCAAGCUGUGCCUGGAUGUGGACAAGGCCAUUUUGCUAGGAUUCCAUUUCAUGUUUUUUUGGCUUCGUUUGAUACUCACAAUCAAGAUGAGGGGAGUGUGGUUCACGUCUUGGAGGUGUGUCCAAAAUUUGGAGUGGGGGGACCGAACAUACUGUCGAUAAUCUUCGUGGCGGGGUAGCCUGCUGUGGUUGGCCCUGGACAUCAGACCUUGCUUUCUUUGCUGCCACAUGUUUUUUUUUGGUGGUGUGUUACAGAAGUCCGACUUCUGCUGCUCCAGACUUCUUUUGAUGGACCUAGUAUUAAAAGUGAAAUUUUGUUAUGGCCAUUCCUUUACAAACAUACCCUAUACUACAAUGGACACUUUACCUGCUUCCGCAGCGUCAUCAUCAUCAGAUGUCAUGGGAGUUACUGUAGGACGACCAGUACUGCUUUUUUCCAACACUGUAAAACCAAAAUAAAAAAUAAUGUUUUCAUGCUA